ensembl:lncRNA
UCAUGGUGGAAGAGAAGCUGUCAUUAACCGGUCCUGAGUUAUCAAAAUCCCCAAAUCAAUCUCCCUGACUCCUCUUCCUUCAACACAUUAGUGUUUACCCACUCCCUGAACCCAGGCACUGACACAACAGUCCUGAAGAAUGGAGAUCAGUCGCUGACCUCACACGCUUUCUAGAUUGUGUAAGUUGAUGAUGUGACCUCUCUGUGAUAUGGUUAAGAAGAAAGUUUUAUUGCGAAACUGGUUCCCAUCU